rnacentral:rRNA from 1 species
AUUGAACGCUGGCGGCAGGCUUAACACAUGCAAGUCGAGCGAGCGGCGGACGGGUGAGUAAUGUCUGGGAAACUGCCUGAUGGAGGGGGAUAACUACUGGAAACGGUAGCUAAUACCGCAUACUAUCGGAUGUGCCCAUAUGGGAUUAGCUAGUAGGUGGGGUAAAGGCUCACCUAGGCGACGAUCCCUAGCUGGUCUGAGAGGAUGAACGGCCACACUGGAACUUGGACACGGUCCAGACUCCUACGGUAGGCAGCAGUGGGGAAUAUUGCACAAUGGGCGCAAGCCUGAUGCAGCCAUGCCGCGUGUAUGAAGAAGGCCUUCGGGUUGUAAAGUACUUUCAGCGGGGAGGCGUUACCCGCAGAAGAAGCACCGGCUAACUCCGUGCCAGCAGCCGCGGUAAUUC